rnacentral:rRNA from 1 species
GCAAGUCGAGGGGUAACAGGUAGCUUGCUAUGCUGACGACCGGCGAACGGGUGCGUAACGCGUAUAGAAUCUGCCUUGUACAGGAAGAUAGCCUUUAGAAAUGAAGAUUAAUAUUCCAUAAUACUGAGUUGUGGCAUCACAAUGUAGUUAAACAUUUAUGGGUACAAGAUGAGUAUGCGUCCUAUUAGCUAGUUGGUGAGGUAAGGGCUUACCAUGGCAACGAUAGGUAGGGGGUCUGAGAGGAUAUC